rnacentral:sRNA from 1 species
CCCAGCCAUAAAUGGCUGGGUUAUUGUCAAUUGUCCCUACGGGACU